rnacentral:lncRNA from 1 species
AGUGCCUGUCCAGGGGCACAAGGGUUCACUGAAGACUCAGGAGAGGGGUUUAGAGCACAGCCUCCCUCUCCAGGGUCAGGUUCACGGGAGCUGUUGGGGGCUCCUUCCCUCGCAGCAGUGACCACUCCAAGGACCACGGCCUGGACAUGAGCGGCAGCGGAGUCUAGAUGAAUAUAGGCAGCAGCCAAAGGCCACAGUCACGACAAACCUACACACUCUCACCACUGUCAUCUCAUAUUGUCCUAAAAUUUCCAGCCAGUGCAAAAAAACAUGAAAAAGAAAAAAUACAGCCAUUGGAAAAGAGGAAAAGUAAUUGUUAUUAGCUGAUGAUGUGAAUGUCUUCCUGAAAACCUUAAGAGAACCAACUGGAAAACAACCAGAAAUGAGAGCAUGGAGUUAGGCAACCGCCGAUCUGCUUUCUGUCACUUGGGCGAGUUUUUCCCGUCCUGGGAUUUCAUAUCUCUGGAAUCCUGCAGUACGUAGCCCUCUGUCUGGCUUCCUCGCUCCGUGUAAUGUUCUUGAGAUUCAUCCAUGCAGCUGUGUAUACCUGCAGUGAUUGUUUCUCUUGUUGAAUUGCUGAGAAGGGUUCCAUCGUAUGCCUUUUCCAGUUUAUUUGUUCAUCUGUUGUUAGACAUUUGAGUUAUUUCCAGCUUGGGACUCUUAUGAACAAAACUGCUAUAAACAUGCAUAUUCAAGUCUUUGUGGAUAUGUGCUUUCUUUUGUCCUGGAUAAAUGUCUCCACGUGGGCUUCCUGGGUCUCACGAGGGUGACAGGGCUUCAUUCCUGGAUGGAAAAGUGCACGGCACCCCCAUCUCUGCCACGACGCCUGGUGAUACGGUGACCACCACAUCUGAACACAGCGGGCCCCGGCCCACUUGCCGGCCCAGACUUGGUGGGGGCCGCUCCUGGGCCUCUCUCCUUCUCCCCGGCAACACCCAGGCCUCCUUUCUGCACCAAGAAACUGCCCACUUGACCCAGCCCCUGGGCACUGGCACCAGCAGCUCCCUCUGUCUUUGGCCCUUUUCCCUGGAUCACACGCAGCUGGCGUCUUGCCCCUCAGUGCCCCCUUGGGAAAGAAUUUGCAGGUCAAUCCAGUGAGACUCCCAUCACAUCCCCUGUUUUGUUGCUAUCAAAACAUCUGCACUUGGUGGAUGAUCCUGUUUGUAUGUUUGCUCACCCACGUACCUUCGAUCCUUCCCACUAGAAUGUAGGUUCCCAAGAGCAGGGACCCCACGCCCAAGAGUGGCCUUUUCACAGCGGGAGCUGCAUGCUUGCUUGCUUGCUGGGUGUGUGAGGACCAGAACGGUCCCCUCCUGCACUCUGCACACCUCAGGUUGGCUGCCCUUUAAGGGUGAGGCAGGUCAGGCUCUGGGACUUCUGGGGGGCUCCAGGAGGGAGAAGAGCUCGAUGUGGUGGGGGCUGUUGGCUGAAUCCCUGGUUGAUCUGGAGGGUGUGGAGCCUGUGGGGCAAGGCGCACCUGCUCAGCAGCCCUGGAGUCAGCUGUGCUCUCCGACCUCAGGAGCCUCCUUCCCCGGGCCCAGCUUUAUUCCGGGUGGCACUCAGGGUGGCACUGCUGUUUCCCUGCAGGACCUCACCAGCUGACGUGG